UACGAAGGGGGCUAGCGUUGCUCGGAAUCACUGGGCGUAAAGGGCGCGCAGGCGGCCGAUUAAGUCGGGGGUGAAAGCCUGUGGCUCAACCACAGAAUUGCCUUCGAUACUGGUUGGCUUGAGACCGGAAGAGGACAGCGGAACUGCGAGUGUAGAGGUGAAAUUCGUAGAUAUUCGCAAGAACACCAGUGGCGAAGGCGGCUGUCUGGUCCGGUUCUGACGCUGAGGCGCGAAAGCGUGGGGAGCAAACAGG
rnacentral:rRNA from 1 species